CCUACGGGAGGCAGCAGUGGGGAAUAUUGCACAAUGGGCGAAAGCCUGAUGCAGCAACGCCGCGUGAGCGAUGAAGGCCUUCGGGUCGUAAAGCUCUGUCUUCAAGGAAGAUAAUGACGGUACUUGAGGAGGAAGCCCCGGCUAACUACGUGCCAGCAGCCGCGGUAAUACGUAGGGGGCUAGCGUUAUCCGGAAUUACUGGGCGUAAAGGGUGCGUAGGUGGUUUCUUAAGUCAGAGGUGAAAGGCUAGGGCUCAACCGUAGUAAGCCUUUGAAACUGGGGAACUUGAGUGAAGGAGAGGAGAGUGGAAUUCGUGGUGUAGCGGUGAAAUGCGUAGAUAUUAGGAGGAACACCAGUUGCGAAGGCGGCUCUCUGGACUGUAACUGACACUGAGGCACGAAAGCGUGGGGAGCAAACAGGAUUAGAUACCCCUGUAGUC
rnacentral:rRNA from 1 species